AACAGGAUUAGAUACCCUGGUAGUCCACGCCGUAAACGAUGUCGACUUGGAGGUUGUUCCCUUGAGGAGUGGCUUCCGGAGCUAACGCGUUAAGUCGACCGCCUGGGGAGUACGGCCGCAAGGUUAAAACUCAAAUGAAUUGACGGGGGCCCGCACAAGCGGUGGAGCAUGUGGUUUAAUUCGAUGCAACGCGAAGAACCUUACCUACUCUUGACAUCCAGAGAACUUAGCAGAGAUGCUUUGGUGCCUUCGGGAACUCUGAGACAGGUGCUGCAUGGCUGUCGUCAGCUCGUGUUGUGAAAUGUUGGGUUAAGUCCCGCAACGAGCGCAACCCUUAUCCUUUGUUGCCAGCGGUUCGGCCGGGAACUCAAAGGAGACUGCCAGUGAUAAACUGGAGGAAGGUGGGGAUGACGUCAGGUCAUCAUGGCCCUUACGAGUAGGGCUACACACGUGCUACAAUGGCGCAUACAAAGAGAAGCGACCUCGCGAGAGCAAGCGGACCUCAUAAAGUGCGUCGUAGUCCGGAUCGGAGUCUGCAACUCGACUCCGUGAAGUCGGAAUCGCUAGUAAUCGUAGAUCAGAAUGCUACGGUGAAUACGUUCCCGGGCCUUGUACACACCGCCCGUCACACCAUGGGAGUGGGUUGCAAAAGAAGUAGAUAGCUUAACCUUCGGGAGGGCGUUUACCACUUUGUGAUUCAUGACUGGGGUGAAGUCGUAACAAGGUAACC
rnacentral:rRNA from 1 species